AGCGCUUCUGGCAAGUGCUCCUGGCAUCAGUCCCCCGCCGGAACACCUAUGUGGCUAUCAAAAGUAUUAGCAAAAGAGGGGACAAUGCAGUAGCUUUAAGGAGAGAGCGACGGAUACUCCUGGAGGCCCGAGACUGCCCAUUCCUAUGC